CAGGAUGGUAGCUUUCAUCAGAUUACUAAAAAGUGGGCCCAGAACUCAAAACAACCAUUGCCUUAGAGGAACUGAGGAACUAAAUCAGAGUUAGGAGAUAAAAACAGGGCAAUAUUAAAAUGAACACUUUAUAUUAAAAGUUUAAGAUUGAUGAUAUACUCGCCCAUGUAUAGAAUUUAAUUGCAAAUUGAACAUUAAAAACAGGCAAAAGAUUUUAAUACAUGGAAAGGUGAAAUCAUUCCAGUAAGUACAAAAACUGGAUGGAGGAUGCUUAUUAAGCUGUAUUAAAAAUUUUUUUAAAUUAUACUUUAAGUUCAGAUACAUGUGCAGAACGUGCCGGUUUGUUACCUAGAUAUACAUGUACCUUGGUGGUGAGCUGCACCCAUCAACCUGUCAUCUACAUUAGGUAUUUCUCCUAAUAUUAUCCCUCCCCUAGUCCCCCACCCCACAACAGGCCCCGGCGUGUGAUGUUCGUGUCCAAAUGUUCUCAUGUUUCAAGAAAUGUGAGAUGUCUUUCAUAGCCACUUGUUUUCCCAGUUUCUUAGGAAGCCACUCUCCAAAUAAAUCAUGCAUAUAUAUAGCAAUAACUAGCACAAUUUACAUGUUCUCACACCUACCAUAAUUUUCCUCAAAAGCAAACAUAUUUAAAAAUCGUAAGAAGGGACUGGAGUGGUGGCUCACACCUGUAAUCACAGCGCUUUGGGAGGCUGAGGUGGGUGGAUCACUUGAGGCCAGGAGUUCAAGACCAGCCUGGGCAACAUGGCGAAAUCCCAACCCUACCAAAAAUACAAAUUAGCCGGGUGUGCUAGCAUGCACCUGUGGUCCCAGCUACUUAGGAGGCCAAGUUCGGAGGAUCAUUACUUUGGGCCUCUAUUUUCUUUUCUAAAAAGAAUUGGGUGAAUUAUC
rnacentral:lncRNA from 10 species